rnacentral:rRNA from 1 species
AGCGAACGCUAGCGGCGGGCCUAACACAUGCAAGUCGAGCGGAGGGGCAACCCUCAGCGGCGAACGGGUGAGUAACACGUAGGUAAUGUACCCUCUGGUGGGGAAUAACCGUGGGAAACCAUGGCUAAUACCGCAUAUGUCUUUCGAGAUGAAAGCAGCAAUGCGCCAGAGGAGCAGCCUGCGGCCGAUUAUUUAGUCCUAGUUGGUGAGGUAAUGGCUCACCAAGGGUACGAUCGGUAGCUGGUCUGAGAGGAUGAUCAGCCACACUGGAACUGAGACACGGUCCAGACUCCUACGGGAGGCAGCAGUGGGGAAUAUUGCGCAAUGGGCGAAAGCCUGACGCAGCCACGCCGCGUGAGUGAUGAAGGCCUUCGGUUGU